AUUUCCGGAAGGUGUUGGACUUCCGGUUGGGGGAAGGAGUAGGGUUCAGCAUAUAGUACUACAGGUUCAUUAUAUUAGUUCUAAGAAUAUAGAUAAAACUAUUGGAGACUGGAGUGGGGUAACUGUUACCUAUUCAAGAGAACCAACCCCUAAGAUAGCAGGAGUAUUUUCUCUUCAUGUUCAUGGUCAUAUUCCUCCAAACUCAAGAGUAUACUGGGAUUCAUUAUGUCAGGUAUCAGGAUCAGCAGAACUUGAACCCUGGGGUUUCCUGGGACACACUCAUAAGCAUGGCAGAUUAGUUUCAGGAUGGAAGAUUGAAGAUAAGGAAUGGAUUAAGAUUGGAAGAUCUAAUCCUCAAAACCCACAACAGUUUCUUCCUGUUCAACAAAAAAUAAUAUUAAAGCCAGGAGAUCUUAUUGGAUCACGUUGUGUUUUCGAGAAUGCAGAAGGAGAAGGAGAAAUAGUUCAAGG